GAGCAAAGCCCCGAGCCCGCCGGAGAAAUAAACUCUAACAGCGCAUUUUUGAACCCUCCGCGGGAGAUAAACCCUCUGGCACCGCCUUUUAGUGCUAGCGAGGAAGGAGGAAUUUGCAGCUGCCUGUGCUCGAGCAAGCUCCAUAUCUCUGUAUGGCUCCCUUCUGCCUCCUGUGAACAGUGAUAAUAUCACUUCUCUGCCUCCCAAGACUGCUAAGAACUGAAGCUCUGGGCUCCUCUGAGGAAGCAUGGAUGUUGAACAUGUGAGAAGAGUACCUCAAAAACCUCAUG